rnacentral:lncRNA from 1 species
UUAAACUGAAAACAAUGUAGUUUUGUUCUUCUGCACUAACACCACCACAACAUAAAUAAAACUGUUCAAUUUAUGCAGGCUUGGAAACUAUGGAGAGAUGGGACGCCUUUGGAAUUGUUGGAUCCGAGUAUGAGAGAUUCUUAUUCUAGGAGUGAAGUUAUAAGGUGUAUCCAUAUCGGCUUACUUUGUGUUCAGGAAGAUCCAGCGGACAGACCUACAAUGCAAUCCGUAGUUCUCAUGCUUAAUAGCUACUCUGUGACUCUGCCAUUACCUGAACAGCCAGCAUUUUUCCUUCGAAGUCGAACGGAGGGGAACAUGCCAAAGAUAACUUUGGAGUCUGAUCUAUCUAUCAGUAAGUCAACUCCAUCCGUUGAUGAAGCAUCUAUCACUGCAGUAUACCCUCGAUAGCGUGAAUGAACAAGAUGUUAUAUCUGUAUUAUCUGUUUAUAUUUGUAAUCACAAAUGUGAAACUUGUACUCUUGGUUCCAUACGACUGUUGUUAGGAUUGAAAACAUCAAAUGGUAUUUCUGUCUUGUGAGUUUCAAUAUCAUUGAUUUCGAUUUGUGAGCAUAGAUUUAUCAUCCACAUAACGUGAUUGACAAGGUUUUAAGUAUUCACAUCUGUAUCUUGGAAAAGAUCUCUUCUUUGUGGGUCUGGGUUGAAUCUUCUGCAGUUUCGCGAAGUCAAUACUUAAUAAAUUUACAGCCGUCGUAAUUAGGUAGUUGUGGUCACAUCACUGUCUUGGAUUGAUGAGUAGAGUUAUGGAUACCAUCUUCUUUUCUGGUUAUCUUCGUAUCCACAUAGGAGAUAAUGCGCAAAACGUACAAUUUGUGGAGCAUACUAAAUAACGAUGGCCGCCAUCGCAAGGAAGACAUGAGGUGGUGGCAAGAAAUGGAGAGGAACGUACUUCCCUAUUCCUGUUUCAUUCUCCCUCUCUCCGCUUGUCACCUAUAAGAGGAGGGGAGAGAGAGAGGAAGACAAUUGGAGGAAUUGUUCAAGGAAUUUUAUCUCCAUGAAGAUUCAAGGCUUAGAGUUAAACAUCGUGAUUUGAAAGUUAGCAAUAUCCUAUUAGAUGACAAUAUAAAUCCAAAAAUAUCAGACUUUGUAAUGGCAAAAAUGUUAGGAGUUGAUGAUCAAAUUUGCGGAAACACAAGAAGAGUUGUCGGCACUUAGUAUGUUUCAACUUAUAUACCCCGUACCAAACUACUAAUCUCAAUUUUAUUUUGGUUUAUUUGUUCUUUCUUUAUAAUUAUGUGAUAUGAUGCACUCUAUAUGCAAAAUGUAUUAACUUUUGAUAUGCAAGUAGCUAUAUGGCACCAGAAUAUGCUAUGGAGGGAUUGCAUUCCACAAAAUCUUAUGUCUUUAGCUUCCGCGUACUCUUGCUUGAGAUCCUAAUAGGGAGAAGAAAUUUUUUGGGGUUUCAUGACUGUGCACCUACUCUUGUAGCAUAUGCAAGUGUUCAAUUAGUUGGGUUGGGUUAUAAAAUUAAUUGCACAACAUAUGUAAGUGUUCAAAUAUAGACAUCGAUCCUUAAGGUAUUAACUCCGAGAUUAAUUGCAGGCUUGGCUGUUGUGGAACGAAGGGAAAGGGUUGGAGUUAAUGGAUCCAUUGUUGAAAGAAACAUGCAGUCCAAAUGAGUCGAUGGGUCCCUAAGACAAGAAAAGUAGGCCCAAUACAUACAGAACAACAAAAUAAGACCCAGAAGAGGACGACAACAACAACAACAAAAAAAACCAGCAACAAAAUCACGGAAUUAUGGCCUCUUUAUAUUGUUUUCUUUGUUUUCAGAAUCGAUCGAGAUACAUGAAUAAUUGUUCUUAAUCAUUUGAAUUAUAAGUCGUUUAUUAUUAUAUUGUUUGAUAAAUUAAGUCCAUCAAUGUGAUGCGUUCUUUUGGGACCUUCCGAUGAACUGGGUGGAGAAAUAAAUAAUCCCUUUGGGCACUUCCGUCUCCAUCGUCUUAAGUUUGAAAAUAUUUUUAUUUUAUAUAGUUUUUUUUUGUCAUUUCGUCUCCUUCCUUUUCUUCAACGAAUUUGAGUAAGAUGGUUUCAUGGCGGCAGACAGGUGAAGUGAUAUAUGCCCGUCAACACACGGAAACAUUAAAACCAGUUUCACUUUAGAGUCCUGCCGUGACUUUUCUUUUGUGAAUUUAUUCAUGAAACCCAUUUCGAUUUGGUAAAACUUUCUUCUUGUAAUAUUCUUGCGAAUAAUAAUAAUAAUAAUCAAUAUCAAUAUGAUAAUGAUAAGGGAUAUUUAGUUAAAUACCUAUUCUUAGUAUUAAAACUAUAAAUAAAUUCUAUACUAUUUAAUUUUUAUUUUUAUAAACAAACUCAAAAAAUGACAAUUGGCCUUAUUGAAUUUAAUUUUAAUUAUUAAAUUACUUUAGUGUCAUAUUGAGUGUUUUGGACUUUUUUUAUGAGAUUUUAGAGUUGGAUUCGUUUUAAAAAAUCAAUGGCAAUUUUGUAAUUUAAAAGUAGUUAAAAGCUUUUCUAUGAUAUUGCAAAUGGACUUUGAUGUAUUUUUAAAAUCAAUUUCAUAUGAGAUUUUUUUAAUAAUUUGACUCCUAUAUUAGGUAAAACAGUGAAUCUCCCUCAAAAAACCGCCACUGCCCUCUCUCUCUUUCCCACUCCCGCCUGCCAUUUUCCUCUGUUUCAAACUUUUGUUUUUUUUGUCUUUUAUUUCAUUGUCUCUUCUUCCUCUUCUUUUUCUAUGAAUCUGAUGAUAAAGACAACCACCACUGAGAUAAUAUAUCUUCCAAAGUUCAACUUGGCUUGAGAAAUAGAGACAGGGAGGGACUAGCUAGCUUAAUUAGCGAAGCAUAGGGGAUGUCCUGGGCUGGUUUCAUCAAGAUCAAAAUGCUUCCCAUGACUAAUCUCAUGCUCGUUUCCAUUCUCUCCUCCAUAUUUGUUGUUACUCUGCUUAGCUUUCCCAGCCCAGCUGAAGCUGAUUAUCUAUACCAUGUCUGCCCAAACACUACCACUUUCACCCCGAACUCCACCUUCCAGUCCAACCUCAACCGCCUCCUCUCCACCCUCUCCUCCAACGCCACCCGCCCCUCCGGCUUCUACAACGCCACCGCCUCCUCCCGAACCCCAAACGACGCCGUCUACGGCCUCUUCCUCUGCCGCGGCGACGUCGCUGCCACCGACGCUUGCAAAUCCUGCGUCUCCACCGCAACCUCCGACAUCGUCCAGCGCUGCCCCACCGAGAAACAGGUCGUGAUCUGGUACGACGACUGCAUGCUACGCUACUCCAACGAGUCCUUCUUUUCCACCAUGGCCGAGACACCUCGCCUGUUCAUGUGGAACACCCAGAACGCCACCGAACAGACCCGCUUCAACCAGGUCCUGUCCACCGGUAUGAACGAGGUGGCCACCGAGGCUGCCAACGACGCCGACAAGUUUGCGACGAGUCAGGGGAAUGUUAGUGGGUUGGUUUCGAUUUACAGCCUGGGGCAGUGCACGCAGGACCUGUCCUCAGCGGAUUGCAACCGGUGUCUCAAGGGUGCCAUAGCCCAAUUUCCGAAUUGUUGCAGUGGAAAGGAAGGGGCACGAGUGUUGUAUCCGAGCUGUACCGUUAGGUACGAAGUCUACCCUUUCUACCAACAGAACUCCACGUCAGCACCUCAGCCUUCACCGGGGGCUCUACCUCCUCCUCUGCCGCCUAAAGGUAAAGUGAAGUGACCAGCUUUUCAAUUCAAAUUAUGUCUUAAAAUUGUUGGGGGGAAUAGGUAUCUAUGCUAACUAUGGUGGACUUUGGAUUGGAACAGGGGAAUAUGGUUUUGGGAUUUGGCUGUUCAUUUUACUAAUUUCUUCAUAUUUAGUUUGAUGUAUCAGUGUAGAUUCUUAUUGUUUAUUAUGCAGGAAAAAGCAAAAUCCCUACAAUUGUUGCCAUUGUUGUCCCAAUUGCCGUCUCUAUGCUACUUUUUGUUGUGGGCUGCUGUUUCAUUACUAGGAGAGCAAGAAAGAAGCGCAGUGCAGCAGCAGAGGCACCAAGCGGUAAAGAAUAUAGCUGAAAUGAAUUCUAGUUUGUCAUACAAAUCAAAAGCAUACUUUUGUUUCCUCAUCUUUAUACAUGAAUGCUUUUCUUGUUUGUUUGUGUAGGUGAGAAUGACAUUAGUACUAUAGAGUCUUUGCAAUUUGAUUUUAGUACCAUUGUAGCGGCCACGAACAAUUUCUCUGAUGAUAAUAAGUUAGGGGAAGGUGGAUUUGGUCAAGUUUACAAGGUAUGUAUGUAUAUCAACGUUUCUGCAUCGGAAAAUCUAAAGUCUUAAUAUUUUGAGAAACUAAGGAGGUUUUAAUCAGUACUGGGAAUUGUAAAAGUUGUGCAACAAUGUACAUUCCAUCGAUUCAUUGAUUGAAGGCUGUUCUCAGGGUAUACUUUCAAAUGGUCAAGAAGUAGCUGUGAAGAGGCUUUCAAAGAACUCUGGCCAAGGUGCAGAGGAAUUUAAGAACGAGAUGGUAUUGGUAGCCAAGCUUCAACACAGAAAUCUGGUCAGGUUAUAUGGAUUUUGCUUGGAAGGAGAAGAAAAGAUACUUGUUUAUGAAUAUGUCUCCAACAAAAGCCUUGACUAUUUUCUAUUUGGUUUGUGCCCUGAAACAUCUGAUAGUCUUUUCUACUGCAAAAACAAUGUUACUUCAACAUGUAUUUGAAUCUGUUUACUCGAUGAUAUCUUGAUCGCUCAAUUUUGAUGAUUUUCAGACCCUGAGAAACAAGGACAAUUGGAUUGGGCAAGACGUUACAAGAUUAUUGCAGGGAUUGCUCGAGGAAUAAUGUAUCUACACGAAGAUUCCCGACUUAGAAUUAUACAUCGUGAUCUCAAGGCCGGCAAUAUAUUGUUAGAUAGGGAGAUGCAUCCAAAAAUAUCUGAUUUUGGCAUGGCCAGGAUUUUUGGGGUUGAUCAAACUCAAGCAAACACAAGUAGAAUUGUUGGAACAUAGUAAGUUCUCUCAUUCAUCUUUUCUUUUCUCAUGACCACUUUUGUUCUGCAUUAUCUGGAUUGAUGAAUUUGAGAAAUGGUCCCAUCUGCACUCAACAGAAGGUCCACUUUGACCCUUGAUAAUAUCUGUAUGAACUCAGACAGGGAUGAUGUAAUUUUUGAAUCAUACUUCAUGCUCUAUAAAUAAUGAAAGCCACUUAGUCUUACACGAAAUUGAAUGGAUUAAAUUAUUGACACGAAUAUGAUAAGUUUAUGUUUACUCCUUAAAUUUUGCUACGAUUUCUAUACUGAUGGAUGGUUGUGCUUCUUGCAGUGGCUAUAUGUCUCCAGAGUAUGCAAUGCAUGGACAAUUUUCUGUCAAGUCCGAUCUAUAUAGUUUCGGUGUUUUACUGCUAGAAAUCAUAAGUGGCAAGAAGAAUAGUUGUUUCUUUCAAACUGAUGCAGCUGAAGACCUUGUGAGCCAUGUAAGUUUAAACUGAAAACAACGCAGUUUUGUUCUUCUGCACCAACACCACCACAACAUAAAUAAAACUGUUCAAUUUAUGCAGGCUUGGAAACUAUGGAGAGAUGGGACGCCUUUGGAAUUGUUGGAUCCGAGUAUGAGAGAUUCUUAUUCCAGGAGUGAAGUUAUAAGGUGUAUCCAUAUCGGCUUACUUUGUGUUCAGGAAGAUCCAGCGGACAGACCUACAAUGCAAUCCGUAGUUCUCAUGCUUAAUAGCUACUCUGUGACUCUGCCAUUACCUGAACAGCCAGCAUUUUUCCUUCGAAGUCGAACGGAGGGGAACAUGCCAAAGAUAACUUUGGAGUCUGAUCUAUCUAUCAGUAAGUCAACUCCAUCCGUUGAUGAAGGAUCUAUCACUGCAGUGUACCCUCGAUAGCGUGAAUGAACAAGAUGUUAUAUCUUGUAUUAUCUGUUUAUAUAUGUAAUCACAAAUGUGGAACUUGUACUCUUGGUUUCAUACGACUGUUGUUAGGAUUGGAAACAUCAAAUGGUAUUUAUUUCUU